GACGAACGCUGGCGCCGUGCUUAACACAUGCAAGUCGAACGCUGAAGCUCAGCUUUUGUUGGGUGGAUGAGUGGCGAACGGGUGAGUAACACGUGAGUAACCUGCCUCCUUCUUUGGGAUAACGCCCGGAAACGGGUGCUAAUACUGGAUAUUCACUGGUCUUCGCAUGGGGGUUGGUGGAAAGGGUUUUUCUGGUGGGGGAUGGGCUCGCGGCCUAUCAGCUUGUUGGUGGGGUGAUGGCCUACCAAGGCUUUGACGGGUAGCCGGCCUGAGAGGGUGACCGGUAACAUUGGGACUGAGAUACGGCCCAGACUACGACGGGAGGCAGAAGUGGGGAAUAUUGCACAAUGGGUGCAAGCCUGAUGCAGCGACGCCGCGGGAGGGAUGGAGGCCGUCGGGUUGUGAACCUCUGUAGCUCAUGGUCAAGCCGCAACAAUGGUUGUGGUGAGGGUAGUGGGUAAAGAAGCGCCGGCUAACUACGUG
rnacentral:rRNA from 1 species